UCCGGGGUAACCGCUGCAUUCUGCUGUUCCAUCAGCGCCCUCUGCUGUCAGAGAGUGAACGUGCACUUUCAUUCAGCGCGUCUCCUUCACUCGUUCCGCCAUGUGCUUCUCAUGCAAGUUGGACUUGUUUACAUCUGAGCGCGUGUCCCUUUGACGCAGAAUACAGCGGUGUUGUGCAUUUUAUACGGUUGAUGGGAAAAGUAUUCUUAAAUGCAUUAUAAAAAUUGUAAUAAUUAGUAAUAAAUUAUUAUUUACGGUAUUUUGACGUGCUCACGAUAACAAUAUCGUGCAUAUUCCUUAUUGUGAUAUAUCGCAUUACCGAAUAUCGGCACAUGUCUACAUUCUACAGAGUGAGCAGAGCAGUCGUUAGAGGGAACAUGUCAAGAGUUCUGCUUUACUAGGAGGAAGCGCAGGGGGGAAAAAACGGCUUGAAAGCAUGACGAGCAGCUGCCGCAGCGGACAGCACUCACAGUUUUGCAGUUUAUUAAUUCUGCAGUGCCCAAACUAAAAAGAUGCUAACACCUUUCCGCUUGAAUAUCCGGACUAACCCCGAGGCAUGAUUUCCAGCAAGAGCUUUCAGGAUCGAAAUCACAAGGGUUGCUGAGAUUGAAUCCACUUUAUUUCCUGAAAAUCCAAUCUCCAGGUCACCCUCCACCCCUCCUUCUCAACCCCAGCUCCACCUUAAUCUGCUCUCAUAUACCAGCUCCCUUUUCUCUGUACCUGGGAUAGAGGGAUAUUGUCUUUCAUCUGAAACCAGACUGGGCCAGUACAGCCUACUCUUCAGACUCAAAACCUGCUGGAUCUACAUCUACAAGUGAUGUGCGGAUAUGGGUUUUUUCUAUAUCAAGAUCUGUCAAUAGCAGAUCCUCUAUCACUACUGUGCCCUUUGGCAAUGCCCUUUACACCAGGGGUCAAGGGACAAAAACAGCAUUUAGAUGAGGACCAUUGGGCUUGGACAUCACAGGCAUGCUGAUUCGACCAGAAGCUUUAAUUUGUAGCUGAUACUGAGACCUGACUGAGAAGGGCAACAAAUGAGGUGGAGAAUCCAGACCGCAGAACAAGCUACACAAUUGAUCCAGCAGCAGAUGGGGUUAAUGUGCUAUUUCAAGAAACGUGUUGAUCAAAUCUAGUGCACUCAUGCCUCUCAACUUACAAUGUGAAUUGUUUUAUUGUCUCCUGUUUGUUCACAGAUUAAAUGCUUAAUCUUAUGUAGUCAAACAUGUAACAUCGAAACACACUCUUGUAAGGAAACCUCCCUGUAGUGACUUUCAUACUACACAAACAAGACGACAAUGCGAUUGCAAGUGUGAGAAUGAUUUAUACAAUUUAAUAAAUAAAAAAGUUAAUUUGAGUAAUAUCCAUUAAAGAUACAACAUUUGCUCCAUAUUGCUGGUGUGAACUUCCCAUUUCCCAAAGAACUGGAACAUUAUAGUUAAUGUACUUGGUGAGAUUGAGAAUGGUCCUUAACAGUGUAAUUCCUAUAGAGGUAUUAUCUAUUGUCUAGUCUAGUGGCACCAUGGUGUUCUAUCUGCAAAUCAUAACACACUCGCAAUGUCCUUUGCGUGGGUGCUCAAAAACUGUCAUGGUCAAAAACAGCUCAAAAAUAAAUGCAUACAGGAUUUUGUUUUCUCUUCAAACUGCCUAGGAGGGGGUCGUGCAUUAUCUUUUUCUUUCUUUUUUUAAAUUCUAUUUCCAAAGUGGGUAUACGUUACUUAAAGGGGUCAUGAAUUGAGAAAUCUAAUUUUCCUUGACCUUUUGACAUGUAAGAGGUCAUUGUACUAUAAAAAUAUCCUUUAAGUUUCAGAACUCCAAAUUUGCGUGUUGGUCCAAAAACAGCUUUUAUUGACACCAAGCUCAGAAAAUGACUUGUUUUGGAUUUUGUCACAUUAUUACAUCAUAGUGCAAUGACAGACUGCCUCGGCAGAAGAAGAUCAACACCUACUUCUACAUCAUUGCCUCUUUAG